rnacentral:rRNA from 1 species
CUCGGGGAUGUAUGGUGGGCAUCGUUGACAUGCCAACCGGGCCCGAUGUGAGUUGGUGUUUCCCGAAGAGGCUUUAUGGCUAGACUUAAGUUAAGAGCUACGGAGGAAGAGCAUUGAAUGUUCGAGGGUGUAUUGCAGCUACCGAAGACUAUCAAACUCCGAAUGCCGUCAUCUUAUACUUGGGAGUCAGACUGUGGGGGAUAAGAUGCAUAGUCGAAAGGGCAACAGCCCAGCUCGUCAGCUAAGGUCCCUAAAUGUAAGUUAAGUGGUAAAGGAUGUGGGAUUGCACAGACAACACGGAUGUAAGCUUAGAAGCAGCCACUCACUCAAAGCGUGCGUAAUAGCUCACUGGUCGCGUAAUCCUGCGCCGACGAUUACCGGGGCGAAAACUUACCACCGAAGCUACGGCAUCAGUAAUGAAGGGCAUGGGAGAUGCGCAUACGGGUU